rnacentral:rRNA from 1 species
GACGAACGCUGGCGGCGUGCUUAAUACAUGCAAGUAGAACGCUGAAGAGAGGAGCUUGCUCUUCUUGGAUGAGUUGCGAACGGGUGAGUAACACGUAGGUAGCCUGCCUUGUAGCGGGGGAUAACUAUUGGAAACGAUAGCUAAUACCGCAUAACAAUGGAUGACACAUGUCAUUUAUUUGAAAGGGGCAAUUGCUCCACUACAAGAUGGACCUGCGUUGUAUUAGCUAGUAGGUGAGGUAAUGGCUCACCUAGGCGACGAUACAUAGCCGACCUGAGAGGGUGAUCGGCCACACUGGGACUGAGACACGGCCCAGACUCCUACGGGAGGCAGCAGUAGGGGAUCUUCGGCAAUGGGGGCAACCCUGACCGAGCAACGCCGCGUGAGUGAAGAAGGUUUUCGGAUCGUAAAGCUCUGUUGUAAGUCAAGAACGGGUGUGAGAGUGGAAAGUUCACACUGUGACGGUAGCUUACCAGAAAGGGACGGCUAACUACGUG